GACGAACGCUGGCGGCGUGCUUAACACAUGCAAGUCGAACGGAAAGGCCCCUUUGGGGGUACUCGAGUGGCGAACGGGUGAGUAACACGUGAGUAACCUGCCCUUGACUUCGGGAUAACUUCAGGAAACUGGGGCUAAUACCGGAUAGGAGCUCCUGCUGCAUGGUGGGGGUUGGAAAGUUUCGGCGGUUGGGGAUGGACUCGCGGCUUAUCAGCUUGUUGGUGGGGUAGUGGCUUACCAAGGCUUUGACGGGUAGCCGGCCUGAGAGGGUGACCGGCCACAUUGGGACUGAGAUACGGCCCAGACUCCUACGGGAGGCAGCAGUGGGGAAUAUUGCACAAUGGGCGGAAGCCUGAUGCAGCAACGCCGCGUGCGGGAUGACGGCCUUCGGGUUGUAAACCGCUUUCGCCUGUGACGAAGCGUGAGUGACGGUAAUGGGUAAAGAAGCACCGGCUAACUACGUG
rnacentral:rRNA from 1 species